GCUUCUAAGUUUCUUUUACAGUGGCUUGUUGAGCACCCACAGUUCAUCUCCAAUCCCCUCUACAUUGCUGGGGAUUCAUAUGCUAUAAAAAUUGUACCUAUGGUGGCCAAAAGAAUAUUGGAUGGUAUUGAUGAAGGGAAAGAACCAUUACUUAACCUC